rnacentral:rRNA from 1 species
UACGUAGGGGGCUAGCGUUGUCCGGAAUCAUUGGGCGUAAAGCGCGUGUAGGCGGUUCGGUAAGUCCGCUGUGAAAGUCGGGGGCUCAACCCUCGAAUGCCGGUGGAUACUGUCGGGCUAGAGUGCGGAAGAGGCGAGUGGAAUUCCUGGUGUAGCGGUGAAAUGCGCAGAUAUCAGGAAGAACACCCGUGGCGAAGGCGGCUCUCUGGGACGGUACUGACGCUGAGACGCGAAAGCGUGGGGAGCGAACAGG